rnacentral:rRNA from 1 species
UACAGAGGGUGCGAGCGUUAAUCGGAAUCACUGGGCGUAAAGCGCACGUAGGCGGCUUUCUAAGUCAGGGUGAAAUCCUGGAGCUCAACUCCAGAACUGCCUUUGAUACUGGAGAGCUUGAGUCCGGAAGAGGUGAGUGGAACUGCGAGUGUAGAGGUGAAAUUCGUAGAUAUUCGCAAGAACACCAGUGGCGAAGGCGGCUCACUGGCCCGAUACUGACGCUGAGGUGCGAAAGCGUGGGAGCAAACAGG